CGCACAUUGCGCCCGCCAGUACUCUGGCGGGCAUGCCUGUCCGAGCGUCAUUUCAACCCUCAAGCCCCCGGGCUUGGUGCUGGGGAUCGGCGAACGUCGCCGUCCCCCAAACCCAGUGGCGGUCCCGCCGAGCUUCCUCUGCGUAGUAGCAACACCUCGCACCGGAGCGCUCGCGGUCCCACGCCGUGAAACACCCCACUUCUGAACGUUGACCUCGGAUCAGGUAGGACUACCCGCUGAACUUAA
rnacentral:misc_RNA from 1 species